CCUUAUCUUGCGGGAGAGAGGGGCGGCACCGCCCCCGCCGAAGGCGCAAACUCCCAUCAUCGCUCAGGCACACCGGACCGCAAGAGACCA
rnacentral:ncRNA from 2 species